rnacentral:tRNA from 1 species
GCCUGGUGGCUCAGUGGGUUGAGCACCUGACUUUGGCUCAGGUCAUGAUCUCACAGUUCAAGCCCUGUGUCAGGC